GACGAACGCUGGCGGCGUGCUUAACACAUGCAAGUCGAACGGAAAGGCCCUGCUUUUGUGGGGUGCUCGAGUGGCGAACGGGUGAGUAACACGUGAGUAACCUGCCCUUGACUUUGGGAUAACUUCAGGAAACUGGGGCUAAUACCGGAUAGGAGCUCCUGCUGCAUGGUGGGGGUUGGAAAGUUUCGGCGGUUGGUGAUGGACUCGCGGCUUAUCAGCUUGUUGGUGGGGUAGUGGCUUACCAAGGCUUUGACGGGUAGCCGGCCUGAGAGGGUGACCGGCCCCAUUGGGACUGAGAUACGGCCCAGACUCCUACGGGAGGCAGCAGUGGGGAAUAUUGCACAAUGGGCGGAAGCCUGAUGCAGCAACGCCGCGUGCGGGAUGACGGCCUUCGGGUUGUAAACCGCUUUCGCCUGUGACGAAGCGUGAGUGACGGUAAUGGGUAAAGAAGCACCGGCUAACUACGUG
rnacentral:rRNA from 1 species